rnacentral:tRNA from 2 species
GCUGAUGUGGCUCAGUGGUAGAGCAGCGCACUCGUAAUGCGCAGGUCGCCGGUUCGAAUCCGGCCAUCAGCUCCA